rnacentral:lncRNA from 1 species
UUUGCGUGAGGCCCAUUGUUGUGCCAUAAACAUGCGAAAAGGUAACAUUUAAUUUAGGUUGCGCAUCUGGAGCUCGAGAGGAGCCCUCAUCAGGCUGUAUUUAAAUUUCUGCUUUCCACCCCAGUGCCUCUAAAAUUGUUAAACUGUGUCGUCCUUGCGGCUUUAUUAAACCUCGCAAAAUCCAGCCAAGCUUAACGAACGCAGGAGCGGAGUUUCCGCCGAGUCCGGUGGAUUUGCCAGGCAGGAUCCUGCUCCCUCCCAGCCACUCCAGGAAGCCCCCGGCCCUUUGUGCAGGCACCAAGCGCCCACCAAUUGUGUCUCUAAUCAACUGCUCUGAGCAGGUUGGUGGGACCUGUAACUUCAGAUCAAUUGAGUUCUCUGCCCCACCUCUUGAGAAGGAUGGACAUCAAGGACUUCAUGCAGGGCAAAGCCCCUCCUGUCUCCUCCUGCACAGUCCCCUCAGGCUGCUGUAA